AUGUACCCACGUACACUCCGGUUCCUCCGCGCCGGCUGCACCCACCUGACGACUGCUCGCUACGUUUUGUUAACC
rnacentral:sRNA from 1 species